AUAACAUAACGCAUGAUGAUCUGUAUGGAUAGUUGAAAUAAAUGACUUGGAAUAAUUAGUUACUUACAUGGAUAGCUUCUUGAAUGGCAAGAGGGGCGUCUGAAGCAGGACUAGCUACGGGAGAAGCAAGCAUAGCAGGAACACCAGAGAUCUCAUGGAAUAAUAAGCAAAUUCAGCCUCCAAAGAGGGGUUCUAACAGCUACAACCAUAGCUUGGAUCUGUCAAUGAGGCUGCACUCUGUCACAGUUGGAUUUUGUCGAGAGAUCUCCUCUGAAACUUUGUAAGAAUUGUCCCUUCCAUAUCAGCUGCUAUUUUCUUCAGUGGUCGAGAUAAUAGAUGAACAGACAAAAAGCUCUCUGUUUUGCCUUUCUGCCCUGGAUAAUAACCGAAUGUCCAUCUAAACACAGAAAAUCUGAAGGUUGUGGCAUGCAGCCAGCCAUAUCACGAACAACAGGGGGGGAUCCAUGGUGACGAUGGCAAUAAAAGGAAAUAUACAGUGUACUCUAUGAAAGGCCUUAAUAUUUUUUUUUUAUUUGUGAUUGAUAAAUCAAGAGAUUUCAUGGAAACCAAGCAAUGGUUUGGGGAAGAAGUUUGAGAGUACAGAUUGAACCAUAAUAUUGCCCUGACAAAAAGUCCGAAGCACAAGAGCGAAAACAUAAAUCAGAACAUACAGACGGAGAUUGGAUAGUAGAGCACAUCCAUACUGGAGCAUCGAUUGAGCUUAGCAUAGAAAUUAGAACCAGGGUACGAAGCCGAUGUCUUCUAACUUCUUGCGUGGAAAGUUGAUCAGCCAUGUGAUUUCCAUCCCACGUAAAAAGGGAACGGCACCAGUCAAAACCUAAGAAGCAUGUCAAUGUUUUAUAACAAUUUUGAUCAAUAAAAACAUCUUGAGACCAUUUAUUCUCAUUACUAGUCCCGGUAGCUUUUCAAGAUUGAAAACUUAUGAUCCAACAAUCUUCUCCAACGAUUUUGAGAGUAGGACAGAUGAGCAACUUCCCUCGAAUUCCUGAGGCCCGCCUUGGCUAUCCCCAGUGACAGUAAUUCACAUUUUGCAAUUGCUUCAGAACCCGCUCUCGGUACUUCAGAUUUCUGGCAUACUCGGAAUAUUGCAAAUCCCUGCAGCUGUGCCUCUCUCAAUUGUGGAAAAGAAACUAGUAUCGAAACUAGUAUCGAAACUAGAUGGGAAUAGAAUAGGGCCAUGAGAUGCUGAAGAUAAACGACACAGCUCACAUGAUAGUCCGAGAUGCCUGAAAACUAAUAGCAACCCAAAAAUUGGCUGUAUUGCCAACUUCCAAACUAGAAGUCUCUCAUUGCAGGAGGAAACCAUUUGCAGCAUAAAGUUAUUGGCUGGUUGAACGGCGGGUAAGGUAACAAUCUUGUUGCAC